rnacentral:misc_RNA from 1 species
CACCACCACCACCACCAAAGCCACCGACGACAUUGGCACUGUUGGUCUGCUCAAACCCACCAUCAAUUUCUCUGAUCGCACAUGGGCGAGCAAACGCAAUACCAAUCGCAACCACAACCACAGCCACAACCCCUUCCUCAGCCCCAACCCCAAUCUCAACCCCAGUCCCAAAUCCAAGCCCAGGUUCAAACGCAGCCUCAGUCACAGCCCCACCAUGACCCCAUCACUUCUUCUAUCAACACCACCAUUACCACCACUGAAUUAAUCAGCAUCCCUCAGCAAACCGCAUCUCCUCUGGCCAAAAUACCUCCUUCCCGGCCUCGCAAAGUCCGUAAACUCUCUCCUGACGACGCCGCAACCACCGCCAACGACCCCAAUUCCUUGCAAAUAACCACCACAGCCAGCGACGCUCCCAAAACCACAGCGAAAUCAGCCAAAAUCAAAGCCACCCAACAGCGAGCCCUGGCUGUCGUAACCCCGCGCAUUAUUGCGAGAUCUUUGUCCUGCGAUGGCGAGGUGGAGAACGCGAUUCGACAUCUUCGCAACGCUGAUCCACUGCUUGCCUCUUUAAUUGAUCUCCACCCUCCCCCUACUUUCGAUACUUUCCACACUCCAUUCCUUGCCUUGACUCGAAGCAUUCUCUAUCAGCAGCUUGCUUUUAAAGCCGGUACUUCAAUCUACACUCGUUUUAUCGCUCUGUGUGGCGGAGAGGUUGGUGUCCUCCCGGAGACAGUUCUUGCUUUGACACCCCAACAGCUGCGACAAAUUGGGGUGUCGGGGCGUAAAGCUGGUUAUCUUCAUGAUCUUGCGAGAAAGUAUCUCAAUGGGAUCUUGUCCGAUUCCGCAAUUGUAAAUAUGGAUGAUAAGUCCCUUUUCACUAUGCUUACUAUGGUUAAUGGCAUUGGUUCUUGGUCCGUGCACAUGUUUAUGAUUUUUUCUCUGCAUAGACCGGACGUGUUGCCCGUUAACGAUCUUGGGGUGCGCAAAGGGGUGCAGUUGCUGUACAAUUUGGAAGAGUUGCCCCGUCCUUCGCAGAUGGAUCAAUUGUGCGACAAAUGGAGGCCAUACAGGUCAGUGGCGUCUUGGUAUCUUUGGAGAUUUGUGGAGGCAAAGGGAUCGCCUUCAAGUGCUGUGGCAGUGGCAACUGGUGCUAGUAUGACACAGCAACAACAGGAGGAACAGCAGCACCAGCUGCAACCUCAGCUGUUUGACCCAAUUAAUAGCAUUAUCAACCUCGGGGCCUCUGCUUGGGGACAAUGAUUGGGACUUGGGAGAGUUAGUUGAUAACCUCUAUCAAGCGAUCAUUUGAGAAGUGCUUACAGAUCAGUGCAAAGAAGUUACUGGUUACUCAUGGUAGGUUUGGACAUUCGAAUAGUUAAACAGAGAGGUGUAUUUUGUCUAGUAAACAUGCUUCAAAAAUAAGAUUACAUGUGUUGAAGUUCUGUUGUCUUUGUUAAGAGACUGUUUUGUUAUCAAACUCUUACAGGAGAUCAUAGAUUUCAAAGAGCUUCACCGUUUGCCUUUAUUGUGGUUUGGGUUUUUGUGUUCUGUAUUACAAUUUGAAUCUUUAUCAGGCUUCUACUAUGAUAAGCAAUAGAAGCAGCUACUGUAAUAAGUGGAUAGAUAAAAAUGUACAGUGGGGUCUAGGUUCUGCAUUGGGGGACACCAUCACACUGAUCAGGUUGCAUGGGCGAAUUUCUGCUCCAACAACUAAUGAUUUAAGCCUUGAGGGACAGAUUGGAGAAGGUAGAAAUUGGGAAGAAAUAAAAGAAUGGAAAGAAGCCGUCUUUGGUAGUGUUGGAGCAGCAAGCUACUUUCCCUGUUGAUUCACUGUCCUUAGUAGAAUUGCUGAGAUGCUUUUGAUCCAAACAAGCCACCUGGCACAAAAUUUUAUGAGUCUUAAAUACAUGACGGUAAAAAUAUGUUAAUUGCACUGAAUAAUUAUUUGUAAAAGAAAG